rfam:Hordeum vulgare subsp. vulgare, WGS project CAJW01000000 data, contig: morex_contig_134974
AUACUACUCCCUCCGUCCGGAAAUGCUUGUCGGAGAAAUGGAUAACAAUGGACGUAUCUAGAACUAAAAUACGUCUAGCAUCCAUUUCUCCGACAAGUAUUUCCGGACAGAGGGAGUAUUUG